UCAGUUCGGAUUGGAGUCUGCAACCCGACUCCNUGAAGCUGGAUUCGCUAGUAAUCGCGCACCAGCCACGGCGCGGUGAAUACGUUCCCGGGCCUUGUACACACCGCCCGUCACACCAUGGGAGUUGGUAACACCCGAAGUCAGUAGCCUAACCGCAAGGAGGGCGCUGCCGAAGGUGGGAUCGAUGACUGGGGUGAAGUCGUAACAAGGUACC
rnacentral:rRNA from 1 species